rnacentral:rRNA from 1 species
UAGGGGAAUAUUGGUUAAUCUGCGAAAGCGGGAACCAGCAACGCCGCGUGCACGAUGACGGCCUUCGGGUUGUAAAGUGCUUUUUGAGAGGAUGAGGAAGGACAGUACUCUUAGAAUAAGCUUCGGCUAACUACGUGCCAGCAGCCGCGGUAAAACGUAGGAAGCGAGCGUUAUCCGGAUUUACUGGGCGUAAAGCGUGUGUAGGCGGUUUGAUAAGUUGGAUGUGAAGCUCCUGGCUUAACUGGGAGAGGUCGUUCAAAACUAUCAGACUUGAGAGUGGUAGAGGGAGGUGGAAUUCCGGGUGUAGUGGUGAAAUGCGUAGAUAUCCGGAGGAACACCAGGUGGCGAAAGCGGCCUCCUGGCCCAUUUCUGCGCUCAGCACGAAAGCUAAGGUAGCAAA